rnacentral:snRNA from 1 species
AACUUUUCCCAGUGGCAGUAUUGUAGCUAAUGAGGUUUCUCCAAGGAGUGAUUAUUGCUAAUUGAAAAUAAAUUUUAGCUCU